GAUGAACGCUGGCGGCGUGCCUAACACAUGCAAGUCGAACGGAAAGACAGUGCUAGCUGGCUGCUAGGGGUGGCGACGGGCGGGUGGGUGGGGGGUGCAUUGCCAUCUACUUUGGCGUGGGGCAGGGCGUAUGGCCAUAUACGCGAAUAGCGCAUAGGUGUAACGGGUGUGAUCAAGAGAUCAGCGCAGGUUGGGCGUGAGAUUGCGGCGUAGUCGGAUUAGCUUGUUGGCGUGGUAAAGGCACACCAAGGCGACGAUCCGGAGCGGGUCUGAGAGGGUGAUCGGCCACACUGGAACUGAGACACGGUCCAGACUCCUACGGGAGGCAGCAGUCGGGAAUAUUCAGCAAUGGGCGCAAGCCUGCUCCAGCCAUACCGCGUGGGUGACGAAGGCCUUCGGGUUGUAAAGCCCUUUUGUUGGGAAAGAAAAGCCGCACAUUAAUACCCCGCUGUUCUGACGGUACCCAAAGAAUAAGCACCGGCUAACUACGUG
rnacentral:rRNA from 1 species